CGUAGGUGGCAAGCGUUGUCCGGAUUUAUUGGGAUUAAAGGGUGCGUAGGCGGCCCCGUAAGUCAGUGGUGAAAUAUCUCAGCUUAACUGAGAGGGUGCCAUUGAUACUGCGGGGCUUGAGUACAGAUGAGGUAGGCGGAAUUGACGGUGUAGCGGUGAAAUGCAUAGAUAUCGUCAAGAACUCCGAUAGCGAAGGCAGCUUACUAAGCUGUAACUGACGCUGAGGCACGAAAGUGUGGGGAUCAAACAGGAUUAGAUACCCUGGUAGUCCACACUGUAAACGUUGAUGACUCGAUGUUGGCGAUACACAGCCAGCGUCCAAGAGCAAUCGUUAAGUCAUCCACCUGGGGAGUACGCCGGCAACGGUG
rnacentral:rRNA from 1 species